AUGUACAGCGCUAUCAAACUGGUAACUAGAAUUAGUCUUUUAUUCAACAUCGACAAGACGUGGCAUCAUUUUGAUGCUCCGGAGUCUACAAUGACCACAGGUCCAGAACACCGCUCCGUGUUUGAGUACUGUCUUCAAGACUCUGCUCUACAGGAGGUCCGAGAAGUUACCAGUGUUCAUGAGCCUCCUGUACACACCAAGAAUCCACCACACAGUCAUGGAGUGACUGUGUGCCCCAAGGAGGAUCUCCAGGAUGAAAAACAGCCAGAGAGCAGCCUGGGUAGAGAUGUGUCUGACAGGAUGGUGUGCUCGGCCUGCCAGUGCCCCUUCGACACCCGGGAGGAGCAGGUGAAUAACUGACUGAGGGUUGGGAUGGACUGACCAGAGACCAUAAAGGAGAGAUUCACCCAUUUAGAAUAUUAUAUAGUUUUUUUCGGCAUCUUUGAGCCAUGUUCUAUCGAUUCCCUGUUAGUGUUACGAUACCAACAUUUAACUAACGAUACCAGGCCAAGUAUCACCAUACCAACGAUACGAUACCAGGCCAAGUAUCACCAUACCAACGAUACGAUACCAGGCCAAGUAUCACCAUACCAACGAUACGAUACCAGGCCAAGUAUCACCAUACCAACGAUACGAUACCAGGCCAAGUAUCACCAUACCAACGAUACGAUACCAGGCCAAGUAUCACCAUACCAACGAUACGAUACCAGGCCAAGUAUCACCA
rnacentral:lncRNA from 13 species